CCCCUUCCAUCGUGCUCUAUCCCGGCCCUAAUGGAUUCCAAGGUUGUCUGGCAGACAGGGAAUCCAUCCGAGUGCAGAUCAAUCUUGACUGAGACCCAGAUGCUUUCAUUGAAGGUGAGAGCUGCCUCUCUAGCCUUGGCCACAAACCUUGAUUGAAAAGCCAAGACCACAAAGAGCUCCUCCGUGGCUGUGGCUGCCGGUGGCUGAGAGAUCCUUAGUGGGCGGGUCCCACGAGCCUGUGUUCCAGCAUCAGUUACUGUUUCCUGUCUGGGACAGGGACGGUGAGCAGCGCGUGGAGAGCUGGAAGUCGGAGUGAAGGUCCAGCUCCCUGGAUAACCAGUUGUAUGCCUGGAGUCUCAGCUUCUUCGCCUGGCUUGAUCCAGAGAAGCCCUCUGAAUGAAAGAGAGAAGCCAUUCCAACCACAGGGAUUUGGGCUCAUCAGUUCAGCAAACCUGGAUGGAAGCGGCACACUUUCAGUAAAUGUACCUGAAGGCAGCGGAAGUGCUGCAGAGUCUCGGCUUCUUGUCGUUGUUUCUUAGGGAUGAUACCAGGAUGCACCAGAUGAGCAGAGCCUGCAAGCUAAUUAUUCUGUAACUGUAUCGAGGUUGUAGCUUGGCAGAGAGGUCUCAGGGAACCAGGGUGGGUUCUAGGGAAGUCAGGCAAGGCCGGAACUUGGCUAUCAUCAACACUGAGGAUCUAUGGCGACCUUACCCAUCCUCAGGUGAUUAGAAAAAUGGUGAAGGUGGGGGGUGAGGUGAUGGUGAGGAUGGAGAUGAGGGUGAAGAUGAGGAUGCAGAUGAUGGUUACCUUUUUCACUGUUGUGGCAACAAUGAAAACCCAACCCAACAAAAGCAAUGUAACUGGUUUUAGAGUCACCAUGGACAAGUACCUUUGGGUGUGUCUCUGAGGAUGCUUCCAAAAAGCUUUAACUGAGGAGGGAAGACCCACUGUGUGUGUGUGUGUGUGUGUGUCACCUGUUGAAUGAACUAAAUUAAAAAAGCAAGCUGGGCACUAGCCCUCAUCUCUCCU
rnacentral:lncRNA from 1 species